rnacentral:lncRNA from 1 species
GUUAGAUAAUCAAACAGCUUAGUUCUUUUCUUUAGAACCCCAGAAUGUAGCGCUGAAAUGAAUGUGCUUUGUUUACAGAUUGGAAACUUUUCCAAGUCAUAGCUGUCUGUAUUGUAAGAGAAUUUAAAGUUGGGCCGGCUUCAUGAGCAGCUGUUUUUGAGAAGUACUGAAUUAAAUGAACAUCUAAAACGGUGAUAUUAGGUCAUUGCUUAAGUUGGGGGUGUGUACUCUUCCUCCUUUUCCUGCCUGAGAAACAGACCUCCAGGUUUGCUGCUUUGCUUUUGGGCAGAGUCUGGGAAUUCAGGGUCCUGCACAGCACAGGGGAUAGGAUACAGGAUUUCCGCCCAAGCCCAGUCCGCUGCGCUGCUGUCACCAGGCAGACCUGGUGUCUGCUUAUCUCGGUGAAGCAGCUGCACUAAGCAGAUUGCUCAACACAAGCUGCCUGUUCCAUCGAUGGGUAACUAUGUCCUAAAGAGAGUGUCGAGAAGCCACCAUUGCUCAGUGGAAUGAACUCACUGGAUAGAACUUCUUAUGGCCUUUGAGACUGAAGCCGAAACUGUAUUCGGAAUGGCUGUCACUCUUGUCUUCUGAAGUCCGGAAGGUCAGUUGAUGCAGACGUUUAUGCCGCCACCACAUGCUACCCUGUACUGUGGCUCUGAUGCUUUUGUGAUAGGUGUUUUGUUUUUUUUUUUUUUUUUUUUAACUGUUGGCAGUGCUUUUAAGAAUAGUGAAUAGUACAUGUUAGAAUUGUGGGUAUGGGGUAUGAAGAGAGAUGAACAAAAAUAAAGAAAUUGUUUCUGGAGAAGGGGGUUCAAACACGGUAAGUACUAUGCCCAGAUGAAGGGCUUUUGGACUGUUUUAAACCCCAACUUCCAGAGCAGCAGUUACAUGACUAAGGAAGCUGAUGUGGGGGUCUUGGUGACUUCAGUUUUUAGACUGAGUACUGUUUCAGGCUGGCUUCUAUCUUAACACUGAAAUGAGGUCUCUAAUUUUUUUAAAAAGGCACAACAACAAGUCUAUUUUGGGGACCUUGGCAGGUUGGCAUUUCAGAAGCAUGGGAGUGACUGUAAGCUGAUGCCUGGCUGUUUUUCCUUUCUUUGGGUGCUCUGUCCUUGGCCAGCCUGGAUGGGAUUAUUUCUCCUUCUUGUUCUGUGAUCACAAUUUGAUCCUAGUAACUGGGAACUAUGAAGUGUGUGUCUGUAGCACUGGAUCUGAAAAGGUUAAAAAAAAAAAAAAGGAGGGAGGGGGAGAGAGAGAAGGAAACUGGCAGAGUCUUAGACGUCUGUUCUUAAGUGUAUAUAUAACUGUGGUGAAGAUACUAAGAAAUGGUACAAAGUUUUUAAGGCUUGAAGAAGGAAGUUUUAAAAGUUAAUGUGAUUUUGCUGUGAUAUAUUUUGUGUCGGUGAGUUACUUGUUUUGUUACCCAAAGGACUUAUAACGGGCUUGGUGCUCUAC